rnacentral:rRNA from 1 species
CCCUUAGAUGUUCUGGGCCGCACGCGCGCUACACUGAUGCAUUCAACGAGUCUAAAACCUGCUCUGAUAGGGGUGGGUAAUCUUUUGAAUGUGCAUCGUGAUUGGGAUAGAUGAUUGCAAUUUUUCAUCUUCAACGAGGAAUGCCUAGUAAACGCAAGUCAUCAGCUUGCAUUGAUUACGUCCCUGCCCUUUGUACACACCGCCCGUCGCACCUACCGAUUGAAUGGUCCGGUGAAGCCUCCGGAUUGGCGCGCACCUCGGUGCCGCCGAGAAGUUGGCUAAACCUUACCAUUUAGGGGAAGGUGAAGUCGUAACA